rnacentral:rRNA from 1 species
GAUGAACGCUGACAGAAUGCUUAACACAUGCAAGUCUACUUGAAUUUGGGUUUUUAACUUAGAUUUGGGUGGCGGACGGGUGAGUAACGCGUAAAGAACUUGCCUCACAGCUAGGGACAACAUUUAGAAAUGAAUGCUAAUACCUAAUAUUAUGAUAAUAGGGCAUCCUAUAAUUAUGAAAGCUAUAUGCGCUGUGAGAGAGCUUUGCGUCCCAUUAGCUAGUUGGAGAGGUAACGGCUCACCAAGGCGAUGAUGGGUAGCCGGCCUGAGAGGGUGAUCGGCCACAAGGGGACUGAGACACGGCCCUUACUCCUACGGGAGGCAGCAGUGGGGAAUAUUGGACAAUGGACCGAGAGUCUGAUUCAGCAAUUCUGUGUGCACGAUGAAGUUUUUCGGAAUGUAAAGUGCUUUCAGUUGGGAAGAAAGAAAUGACGGUACCAACAGAAGAAGUGACGGCUAAAUACGUGCCAGCAGCCGCGGUAAUACGUAUGUCACGAGCGUUAUCCGGAUUUAUUGGGCGUAAAGCGCGUCUAGGUGGUUAUAUAAGUCUGAUGUGAAAAUGCAGGGCUCAACUCUGUAUUGCGUUGGAAACUGUAUAACUAGAGUACUGGAGAGGUAAGCGGAACUAUAAGUGUAGAGGUGAAAUUCGUAGAUAUUUGUAGGAAUGCCGAUGGGGAAGCCAGCUUACUGGACAGAUACUGACGCUGAAGCGCGAAAGCGUGGGUAGCAAACAGG